GUGCUGGCUUCAGCAGCACAUACACUAAAAUUGGAAUGAUACAGAAAUUAUCACGGCCCCUGUACAGGGAUGACAUGCAAAUUCGUGAAGCCUUUUGUGUGUGU
ensembl:snRNA U6 U6 spliceosomal RNA